AACGAACGCUGGCGGCAGGCUUAACACAUGCAAGUCGAGCGCCCCGCAAGGGGAGCGGCAGACGGGUGAGUAACGCGUGGGAAUCUACCCUUCACUACGGAACAACUCCGGGAAACUGGAGCUAAUACCGUAUACGUCCUUCGGGAGAAAGAUUUAUCGGUGAUGGAUGAGCCCGCGUUGGAUUAGCUAGUUGGUGGGGUAAUGGCCUACCAAGGCGACGAUCCAUAGCUGGUCUGAGAGGGUGAUCAGCCACAUUGGGACCGAGACACGGCCCAAACUCCUACGGGAGGCAGCAGUGGGGAAUAUUGGACAAUGGGCGAAAGCCUGAUCCAGCCAUGCCGCGUGAGUGAUGAAGGCCCUAGGGUUGUAGAGCUCUUUCACCGGUGAAGAUAAUGACGGUAACCGGAGAAGAAGCCCCGGCUAACUUCGUGCCAGCCGCCGCGGUAA
rnacentral:rRNA from 1 species